AUUGAACGCUGGCGGAAUGCUUUACACAUGCAAGUCGAACGGCAGCACGGGGGCAACCCUGGUGGCGAGUGGCGAACGGGUGAGUAAUACAUCGGAACGUGCCCAGUCGUGGGGGAUAACGUAGCGAAAGCUACGCUAAUACCGCAUACGAACUCUGGUUGAAAGCGGGGGAUCGCAAGACCUCGCGCGAUCGGAGCGGCCGAUGGCAGAUUAGGUAGUUGGUGGGGUAAAGGCCUACCAAGCCGACGAUCUGUAGCUGGUCUGAGAGGACGACCAGCCACACUGGGACUGAGACACGGCCCAGACUCCUACGGGAGGCAGCAGUGGGGAAUUUUGGACAAUGGGCGCAAGCCUGAUCCAGCCAUUCCGCGUGCAGGAUGAAGGCCCUCGGGUUGUAAACUGCUUUUGUACGGAACGAAACGGCGACCGCUAAUACCGGUUGCUAAUGACGGUACCGUAAGAAUAAGCACCGGCUAACUACGUGCCAGCAGCCGCAGUAACAC
rnacentral:rRNA from 1 species